GUGCAAGCCUGCAACACCGAUGCAGACUGUUCAGAGGAAGACACAAAACAAGAUCAGGAAGGGAACAUUCCUACAUUCUGAUGACAUGAAAGAAUUGUACACGCUUCGAAAGGCACCUUCACUAUGUCAGAGAUGGCAAUGGAGUGGGAGACUGGUGGGGAGGCAAGGCAGUAGCAGUGGUGGAAGAGAAUAAUUGACAAGUUUGACUGAUUGCUAUAUUAUAUUAUUAACAUCUUGUUUAUUGUGAUAAGUUUGGUUAAUUAUUUUUAACUUAACAGGUUUGACUCAUUUUUAAGUUCUAGCUAUUUACCAAGAUCAGUUCAA